rnacentral:rRNA from 1 species
GACGAACGCUGGCGGCGUGCCUAAUACAUGCAAGUCGAACGCAUUUUCUUUCACCGUAGCUUGCUACACCGAAAGAAAAUGAGUGGCGAACGGGUGAGUAACACGUGGGUAACCUGCCCAUCAGCGGGGGAUAGCACUUGGAAACAGGUGCUAAUACCGCAUAAUUCCAUUUACCGCAUGGUAGAUGGAUGAAAGGCGCUUUUGCGUCACUGAUGGAUGGACCCGCGGUGCAUUAGCUAGUUGGUGGGGUAACGGCCUACCAAGGCUGCGAUGCAUAGCCGACCUGAGAGGGUGAUCGGCCACACUGGGACUGAGACACGGCCCAGACUCCUACGGGAGGCAGCAGUAGGGAAUCUUCGGCAAUGGACACAAGUCUGACCGAGCAACGCCGCGUGAGUGAAGAAGGUUUUCGGAUCGUAAAACUCUGUUGUUAGAGAAGAACAAGGAUGAGAGUGGAAAGUUCAUCCCUUGACGGUAUCUAACCAGAAAGCCACGGCUAACUACGUG